AUGCAGAUCAUCAAUGCCGUGGUACUGUUGAUUUUAUUGAGUGCCCUGGCUGAUCCGGAUCAGUAUCACUUUUCAAGUUCUGAACUGGGCGGUGACUUUGAGUUCAUGGACGAUGCCAACAUGUGCAUUGCUAUUGCGAUUUCUCUUCUCAUGAUUCUGAUAUGUGCUAUGGCUAUUUAUGGAGCAUACAAGGUAAGCAGCUUGCAGUAAGAUGCUGGCCUUUUCCUCGGUCUCUUACUUGUUUCAUCUGUGCUGCUAU
rnacentral:lncRNA from 1 species